AUUGAACGCUGGCGGCAGGCCUAACACAUGCAAGUCGAGCGGCAGCGGGAAAGUAGCUUGCUACUUUUGCCGGCGAGCGGCGGACGGGUGAGUAAUGCCUGGGGAUCUGCCCAGUCGAGGGGGAUAACUACUGGAAACGGUAGCUAAUACCGCAUACGCCCUACGGGGGAAAGCAGGGGACCUUCGGGCCUUGCGGGAGUGGAUGAACCCCGGUGGGAUUAGCUAGUUGGUGAGGUAAUGGCUCACCAAGGCGACGAUCCCUAGCUGGUCUGAGAGGAUGAUCAGCCACACUGGAACUGAGACACGGUCCAGACUCCUACGGGAGGCAGCAGUGGGGAAUAUUGCACAAUGGGGGAAACCCUGAUGCAGCCAUGCCGCGUGUGUGAAGAAGGCCUUCGGGUUGUAAAGCACUUUCAGCGAGGAGGAAAGGUUGGUAGCUAAUAACUGCCAGCUGUGACGUUACUCGCAGAAGAAGCACCGGCUAACUCCGUGCCAGCCGCCGCCGUAAAAC
rnacentral:rRNA from 1 species